GCUGGCGUAGCUCAGUGGUAGAGCGCGGGAUUUGUAAUCCCGCGGUCGUGGGUUCGACCCCCACCGCCAGCU
rnacentral:tRNA from 1 species